rnacentral:rRNA from 1 species
AGGGAAUCUUCGGCAAUGGGGGCAACCCUGACCGAGCAACGCCGCGUGAGUGAAGAAGGUUUUCGGAUCGUAAAGCUCUGUUGUAAGUCAAGAACGGGUGUGAGAGUGGAAAGUUCACACUGUGACGGUAGCUUACCAGAAAGGGACGGCUAACUACGUGCCAGCAGCCGCGGUAAUACGUAGGUCCCCGAGCGUUGUCCGGAUUUAUUGGGCGUAAAGCGAG